GUACACCAGUGUGCCGCGGCGUAUACUUUGCGGAACACUGGCGUAGACUACGCGCUACGCGGCCGCAGGCGCUCCACCGGAAUACAUCUGCAACUGCAUGUGAAAGGAUUGAUUGCGUUUAGUAAAUUCCUUGUCGAGCUACACCAGAGCAUAGCAAUUUCGCACCAACAAUGGUUUUAUAAACAAUAAAAGUGUCCAUACAUUUUUGCAAAUGGGAACAUCACGAAUUCAUCUAUCAUAAAAUGCGGAAGGUUCCAUCGCGCUCGAUGCAAGGAGUUUCAAUCUGAUUGGUCCAUCCGUCUCGGAGUAAGAAGCAAGACAAAAUGUUUCUGUUUAAAAAAAAAAACGGGUAAAAAAUGACAAAUCACAAAAUGUUUCUUUUACCCGACCAACUGGAAGAAAUAUUCGACAAGAUGCAAGAGGUUUCACUCCGAUUCAUCAAGCCAUCUCGACGUAAUCGGCAAGCAUACCUAAAAAUCACGGUUUUUUGGUAAAAAGAGGGGUAAAAAAUGACAAAUCGCAAAAAGUCUUGACAGCAGGAUCACCGGAGGAACAUGCUCUAUAAGGUGCAAGAGGAUUCAUUCCAAUUGGUCAAGUCAUCUUGGCGUAAUCGGUGAACAGACAUUAAAAAAAAAAAAUAUACAUGUCGAAUUGAGUAACCUCCUUCUUUUCGAAGUCGGUUAAAAAUGUAUUUUACUAACAGUGAGAAACAAGAUAUGAAUGACACUUUUGUGUUGUGUGAUACAGAUAAUUUAAACGCAGUUAUGCAAAUAAUAAAAAAAACGUUAUCAGAAAUGUUUAGAAUGUAAUGGAGAAGCGUUUGAGCAUCUUCUUCAAUAAAAACAUGUUUUGAAAAUAUCUCGAGAUCUAAUAAUUUGUUUGCCACGGUAUCCUAAUCAUUUCUUACAUAGAAUGAACAGAAGAAUCGAUCUGUGUAAAAAAAUGCAGUUCUUUUUAAAGAAAUAAUGCAAUUGUUAAUUGCAUCUGGACUGCUGCAUCUAACAAAAAUUAAAAGGCCUACAGAUGUAGUGCUCUACGAACCAUUUAUCUUUCUCCUUUGGCAUUUUUUCGUAAAUGCAAUAAUAACGAAGUUAUGACUUGAACAAUUGCGUGGACCACCCUAUAUACCAGUAAACGAUUAAUAUUUUUUUAAAUUUCAAACGGCAUUUAAUCCACUCAUAUAUAUACAACACACAUACAAUAUUGGAAAAAGCCUGUUCGAAACUUCAGAAACUACAUUUUGGUCGCAAUUUUGGGUAUUUGGACGGCGUGCCAUACGACGCGCCUCGUACGACCAACCCCACAGACAAUGGAAUCCCAUUCAUACGGUCCAAGGGUCUCGCCCUACGACGCACAUUACGGAAUAAGUGGACAAAAUUCAAUAUUAGUUGUAUAUCACAAUG